UGUACACUCCGGUGUGGCCUUGCAAUCCAGUAGAAAGCCUUCGUGGGUGGGCACAGUUUAUCACAACUUCCUCAUGACACAAGGAUCUUAUCAUUCUGCCGUUGAUAUUUUAAACAACUUUUCCUUUUUUCUUUGUAGCCAGGGUGAACGUUGUCGGGCGCUUUGCUUUGUAGCGCGAUAAGAUCUUAAUGCUGCCUCGCAAACCUAGACUGAACUUGAGCGGGGCCACUUUAGAGGAGCUCACUCGCAGGGAAGAAGAAACGCGGAACGCGGGGAGAUUUCGGUCGCAGAUUGAAGAAAGGUUUCCCCCCGUAACUGGUGUUUGUUCCAGCUAAGUCUGAUGUGAAAGCAACACACACAUACCCAUACACGCACAAGAGCAUUAAUCACACAACCCUUUCAGAAAGGAUCCACGGUACCGAGUUUGAUGCUAUCACCAGCGCGGUCAGAUAUGCUCCCAGGCGCACAGGUGCAGGAGUUCCAGAAAAGCGAGUUCGUGCACGGAGUUUAAUGUUACCUAAGUACCACAGAGCAAACCACAUUGCUGUGGCGUAGACAUCAUGUCGGCGCCGGGUUGGCGUUGAGACACGGCUCCCAGGAGUGCCUGGGAAUCUCACCUUCUCGUAGCGCGUCUCCAUGCAGAGGAAGAUGAUGUAGGCGGUAGCACAGGCCAGGCAUCCCUCCAGGUGUGUGGAGACUCACCCGGCUUUCCAGUUCAGCGGGGAACUUAGUCUGGAAUUUGCAGACGGUCCCUUCAGUGUAGUCCCUCUGGAUGAAGACCUUGGUGGCCAGCGAAGCACUAUGACGCAACUCCUGCAGGUUGUGGAACUGUGGGAAAUGAAGACAUUUGAGGUGGAGUGGGUUAACUAAGAGUAUCGUUGGGGUUCCUUAGCGUUCUCUCUGAAAUCCAAACUAAUAUUUAAGCUGAGAUGUUAAAACAAGUGGGUAAUCUUUAUCGAUGUGAAGUGGGGAAAUUCAGGUUUAUCAUUCAUCUUUAGUACCUUCAGACAGGUGGGAUGGCUGAGUACUGUGACAUACUGUUGUGUAACUGCAGGCUGUAAUAUAACUGCAGUGCCUUUCAGAUUUUCAGCGAUUUCUCAUGAUUAAGAGCCUGCCUGUAAUUCCGCAUUAAAUCCCUGAAACAUGGAUGUGUAGAACACAUCACGCCCCAAAUGCUAUGGAUUAAUUUAAUCUUCUCCCCUGUCUGCCCACCUAAAUCUCCAGCCGAACGACAAUAAACCUUUUAGAGAAAAGAGCUCAACUGUCAGUAAGAGCCCUCCCUAGUAAUGCGUUUCCCUCCUAUUAGGCAAGUAGCAUGUUGAGUUUCAAUAUCUGAAAAUAGAACGAAAUACCCUCUUAAUUGUAGCUAUCAUAUCUUCCCCAGAGAUGAGUAUCUCAUUUCUAAACACUCAUCUCCAAUCAGCACACCCCAGCAAACCACUUAGCUCUUGGCUACCGCUAAUCCGUAGGAGAGGGGAGCCCACAUUGUGCUAUUGCCCUUACGAGAGCAGCAUUCAUUAAUCGAAAUGGCACUUUGGCUCUCAGGAUGAAUCCCUUUUCACAGCCUGGCCUGUGCACAGAUGUCUUUCUAUACCCGAGCCAGGGGGAGUCCUGCAGGACAAAAGGGGGUUGGGUCUAACACGGCCAAGCCAAUGAGAAGUGACAAAGCAACCCCUAGCCCUUUAGCCUGGAAGGUCUUACGGACUGCCGUUACAGGGCAUGUUUGGACUGUUUAAUAUGGUGAAAAUUCUGCACAGUUUUCAACAGUGUGCUUCUCGCUCCUUCUGAGUCCAAUGAGAGUU